UACGUAGGGGGCUAGCGUUGUCCGGAAUCAUUGGGCGUAAAGCGCGCGUAGGCGGUCAGGUAAGUCCGGUGUGAAAGUCAAAGGCUCAACCUUUGAAUGCCGCUGGAUACUGCCUGACUUGAGUCCUGAAGGGGCGAGUGGAAUUCCUGGUGUAGCGGUGAAAUGCGCGGAUAUCAGGAGGAACACCAAUGGCGAAGGCAGCUCGCUGGAACGGUACUGACGCUGAGGCGCGAAAGCGUGGGGAGCGAACAGG
rnacentral:rRNA from 1 species